GACGUAGGGUGCGAGCGUUAAUCGGAAUUACUGGGCGUAAAGCGUGCGCAGGCGGUUUGUUAAGUCUGCUGUGAAAUCCCCGAGCUCAACUUGGGAAUUGCAGUGGAUACUGGCAAGCUGGAGUACGGUAGAGGAAGGUGGAAUUCCCGGUGUAGCAGUGAAAUGCGUAGAGAUCGGGAGGAACACCAGUGGCGAAGGCGGCCUUCUGGACCAGUACUGACGCUCAUGCACGAAAGCGUGGGGAGCAAACAGG
rnacentral:rRNA from 1 species